rnacentral:rRNA from 1 species
AUUGAACGCUGGCGGCAGGCCUAACACAUGCAAGUCGAGCGAGCGGCGGACGGGUGAGUAAUGUCUGGGAAUCUGCCCGAUAGAGGGGGAUAACUACUGGAAACGGUAGCUAAUACCGCAUACUAUCGGAUGUGCCCAUAUGGUAUUAGCUAGUAGGUGGGGUAAAGGCUCACCUAGGCGACGAUCCCUAGCUGGUCUGAGAGGAUGAUCAGCCACACUGGGACUGAGACACGGCCCAGACUCCUACGGGAGGCAGCAGUGGGGAAUAUUGCACAAUGGGCGCAAGCCUGAUGCAGCCAUGCCGCGUGUAUGAAGAAGGCCCUAGGGUUGUAAAGUACUUUCAGUCGGGAGGCGUUACCGACAGAAGAAGCACCGGCUAACUCCGUGCCAGCAGCCGCGGUAAUAC